GGGAGCUUGCUCCCUGAUGUUAGCGGCGGACGGGUGAGUAACACGUGGGUAACCUGCCUGUAAGACUGGGAUAACUCCGGGAAACCGGGGCUAAUACCGGAUGGUUGUUUGAACCGCAUGGUUCAAACAUAAAAGGUGGCUUCGGCUACCACUUACAGAUGGACCCGCGGCGCAUUAGCUAGUUGGUGAGGUAACGGCUCACCAAGGCAACGAUGCGUAGCCGACCUGAGAGGGUGAUCGGCCACACUGGGACUGAGACACGGCCCAGACUCCUACGGGAGGCAGCAGUAGGGAAUCUUCCGCAAUGGACGAAAGUCUGACGGAGCAACGCCGCGUGAGUGAUGAAGGUUUUCGGAUCGUAAAGCUCUGUUGUUAGGGAAGAACAAGUACCGUUCGAAUAGGGCGGUACCUUGACGGUACCUAACCAGAAAGCCACGGCUAACUACGUGCCAGCAGCCGCGGUAAUACGUAGGUGGCAAGCGUUGUCCGGAAUUAUUGGGCGUAAAGGGCUCGCAGGCGGUUUCUUAAGUCUGAUGUGAAAGCCCCCGGCUCAACCGGGGAGGGUCAUUGGAAACUGGGGAACUUGAGUGCAGAAGAGGAGAGUGGAAUUCCACGUGUAGCGGUGAAAUGCGUAGAGAUGUGGAGGAACACCAGUGGCGAAGGCGACUCUCUGGUCUGUAACUGACGCUGAGGAGCGAAAGCGUGGGGAGCGAACAGGAUUAGAUACCCUGGUAGUCCACGCCGUAAACGAUGAGUGCUAAGUGUUAGGGGGGUUUCCGCCCCUUAGUGCUGCAGCUAACGCAUUAAGCACUCCGCCUGGGGAGUACGGUCGCAAGACUGAAACUCAAAGGAAUUGACGGGGGCCCGCACAAGCGGUGGAGCAUGUGGUUUAAUUCGAAGCAACGCGAAGAACCUUACCAGGUCUUGACAUCCUCUGACAAUCCUAGAGAUAGGACGUCCCCUUCGGGGGCAGAGUGACAGGUGGUGCAUGGUUGUCGUCAGCUCGUGUCGUGAGAUGUUGGGUUAAGUCCCGCAACGAGCGCAACCCUUGAUCUUAGUUGCCAGCAUUCAGUUGGGCACUCUAAGGUGACUGCCGGUGACAAACCGGAGGAAGGUGGGGAUGACGUCAAAUCAUCAUGCCCCUUAUGACCUGGGCUACACACGUGCUACAAUGGACAGAACAAAGGGCAGCGAAACCGCGAGGUUAAGCCAAUCCCACAAAUCUGUUCUCAGUUCGGAUCGCAGUCUGCAACUCGACUGCGUGAAGCUGGAAUCGCUAGUAAUCGCGGAUCAGCAUGCCGCGGGGAAUACGUCCCCGGGCUUUGUACACACC
rnacentral:rRNA from 1 species